rnacentral:snRNA from 20 species
AUCUUUGCGCUUGGGACAAUGACGCAGUUAGUGAGGUGAAACCGAGACGCGUCAAUUGCUGGUUGAAAACUAUUUCCAAAACUAUAUUUGUUAGACUUCUGGCACUUCUGACAAUCACGACUUCAACUAGGACUUCAACUGAUUUUUCUAAAACGAGACAAGGU